rnacentral:rRNA from 1 species
GACGAACCGUCCUAACGUUAUUCGGAAUCACUGGGCUUAAAGGGCGCGUAGGCGGGACCGUAAGUCAGGGGUGAAAUCCCACGGCUCAACCGUGGAAGUGCCUUUGAUACUGCGGACCUCGAGGUGGGCAGGGGCGUGCGGAACUUCCGGUGGAGCGGUGAAAUGCGUAGAUAUCGGAAGGAACACCGGUGGCGAAAGCGGCACGCUGGGCCCGUACUGACGCUGAGGCGCGAAAGCCAGGGUAGCAAACGGG